GCGGACGUGCCGGAGUGGUCAAACGGGAUGGACUCAAAAUCCAUUGGUUUAGUACCUACGCAGGUUCGAGCCCUGCCGUCCGCA
rnacentral:tRNA from 1 species